AUUGGUUUAAUUUCAGCCAUAAAAAUACAGCAAAAAAUCCACAUAUAACAGUUAUAUGCAUAAGUAUAAGUAGGCAAGGCAAUAGCCUAUUAUUUAGUGGAUAAUCUUUAUUAGUUUAAUUAAUAAACUUAAGUUUUUUGUUAACAUUAGGAAAAGUCACAGUGCCAGCAUCCGCGGUUAUUCUGUUUAGUGUUAUUUUAAAAUAUAAAUAUUGUUAUGUAUAUUCUAUUAUUUAGGUAAAAUAUUAAUAAUAGUCUAUUAGUUCAUAACUUUAAAUUUAAAUAAGUUAUUAAGAAUGAGAUUAGAUACCUCAGUAUUACUUAUAUAUUAAAGUUUAGUUAAACUAAAGAAAUUUGGCAGUCUUUUAUUCUCUACUGGGGGUUGUGUGUGUUAAAGGAUGUUCCACCAAUAAAUUUACCUUAGUUAUAUGUAGGUGUACGUCUGAUUAAAUAUUAAUAUAAAGAUAUAUUAGUAUAACAAAAGUUUGUUUAAGUCAAGUCUAUGUGCCACUAUACUAAGGUUCACAUGCUACACAUUAAUAAAUUAAAUAUUUAUAAAAAUUUUAUGUUUAGGACUAGUGAGUAUACACUAUAUUUAGCAGUGUAUAAAAGAGUUUAAUAGAGGUACAUACCGCCCGUCAAUCUCGGUUUUCACUGAGAUAAGUCGUAACAUGGCAGCUUAUGGGGAACCAGAAGCUUGUAAA
rnacentral:ncRNA from 1 species